rnacentral:tRNA from 1 species
AUUAAGGUGGCAGAUUAGUGCACUAGAUUUAAGCUCUAAAUAUGAAUUUUAUUCCCUUAAUA